CCCAACCCUGGUAGGAGUUCGGAUGAGGUACAGAAUGUGGUCGACCAUCAUAGAAAUAUGGAUGGAGUCUGGUUACUGUAGAAGUCCUACUGUUGAGGAAGCUCGGCCAUUGAUAAAGUCCAGAGGAAGUUCGGAGGAGAGUCGAUCAUGGCUGGAAGAAGUCUGGAAGAGAUUCGGAGAAUAGUCGAUCACUGCAGAAAAUCGGCUGAUAUUGAAGCCCAAAGAGCAUUUGGA
rnacentral:lncRNA from 1 species